AUGGAAAUGAUGAUCCCUUCCCCAGACGAUCGACUAUGAUUAGAAUGUGCGUUAUUUGUUCUCCUUUUGGAGGUCCAAGCCAUAUUACUGAUCCGU
rnacentral:snoRNA from 1 species